rnacentral:rRNA from 1 species
CACGUAGGGUGCGAGCGUUGUCCGGAAUUAUUGGGCGUAAAGAGCUCGUAGGCGGUGUGUCGCGUCGGCCGUGAAAACCUGGGGCUCAACUCUGGGCGUGCGGUCGAUACGGGCAUCACUUGAGUUCGGCAGGGGAGACUGGAAUUCCUGGUGUAGCGGUGAAAUGCGCAGAUAUCAGGAGGAACACCGGUGGCGAAGGCGGGUCUCUGGGCCGAUACUGACGCUGGAGGAGCG